rnacentral:rRNA from 1 species
GAUGAACGCUGGCGGCGUGCCUAAUACAUGCAAGUCGAGCGAACGGACGAGAAGCUUGCUUCUCUGAUGUUAGCGGCGGACGGGUGAGUAACACGUGGAUAACCUACCUAUAAGACUGGGAUAACUUCGGGAAACCGGAGCUAAUACCGGAUAAUAUUUUGAACCGCAUGGUUCAAAAGUAAAAGACGGUCUUGCUGUCACUUAUAGAUGGAUCCGCGCUGCAUUAGCUAGUUGGUAAGGUAACGGCUUACCAAGGCAACGAUGCAUAGCCGACCUGAGAGGGUGAUCAGCCACACUGGAACUGAGACACGGUCCAGACUCCUACGGGAGGCAGCAGUAGGGAAUCUUGCGCAAUGGGCGAAAGCCUGACGGAGCAAUGCCGCGUGAGUGAAGAAGGUCUUCGGAUCGUAAAACUCUUUUAGUUGGGAAGAACAUAAGUGUAAGUAACUGUUCACAUCUUGACGGUACCUAAUCAGAAAGCCACGGCUAACUACGUG